rnacentral:rRNA from 1 species
UACGUAGGGUGCAAGCGUUAAUCGGAAUUACUGGGCGUAAAGCGUGCGCAGGCGGUUAUGUAAGACAGAUGUGAAAUGCCCGGGCUUAACCUGGAAACUGCAUUUGUGACUGCAUGGCUAGAGUUUGGCAGAGGGGGGUAGAAUUCCACGUGUAGCAGUGAAAUGCGUAGAUAUGUGGAGGAACACCGAUGGCGAAGGCAGCCUCCUGGGCCAACACUGACGCUCAUGCACGAAAGCGUGGGGAGCAAACAGG